rnacentral:rRNA from 1 species
ACGAGGGGGUGCUAUACAUGCAAGUCGAACGCUUCUUUUUCCACCGGAGCUUGCUCCACCGGAAAAAGAGGAGUGGCGAACGGGUGAGUAACACGUGGGUAACCUGCCCAUCAGAAGGGGAUAACACUUGGAAACAGGUGCUAAUACCGUAUAACAAUCAAAACCGCAUGGUUUUGAUUUGAAAGGCGCUUUCGGGUGUCGCUGAUGGAUGGACCCGCGGUGCAUUAGCUAGUUGGUGAGGUAACGGCUCACCAAGGCCACGAUGCAUAGCCGACCUGAGAGGGUGAUCGGCCACAUUGGGACUGAGACACGGCCCAAACUCCUACGGGAGGCAGCAGUAGGGAAUCUUCGGCAAUGGACGAAAGUCUGACCGAGCAACGCCGCGUGAGUGAAGAAGGUUUUCGGAUCGUAAAACUCUGUUGUUAGAGAAGAACAAGGAUGAGAGUAACUGUUCAUCCCUUGACGGUAUCUAACCAGAAAGCCACGGCUAACUACGUGCCAGCAGCCGCGGUAAUACGUAGGUGGCAAGCGUUGUCCGGAUUUAUUGGGCGUAAAGCGAGCGCAGGCGGUUUCUUAAGUCUGAUGUGAAAGCCCCCGGCUCAACCGGGGAGGGUCAUUGGAAACUGGGAGACUUGAGUGCAGAAGAGGAGAGUGGAAUUCCAUGUGUAGCGGUGAAAUGCGUAGAUAUAUGGAGGAACACCAGUGGCGAAGGCGGCUCUCUGGUCUGUAACUGACGCUGAGGCUCGAAAGCGUGGGGAGCAAACAGGAUUAGAUACCCUGGUAGUCCACGCCGUAAACGAUGAGUGCUAAGUGUUGGAGGGUUUCCGCCCUUCAGUGCUGCAGCUAACGCAUUAAGCACUCCGCCUGGGGAGUACGACCGCAAGGUUGAAACUCAAAGGAAUUGACGGGGGCCCGCACAAGCGGUGGAGCAUGUGGUUUAAUUCGAAGCAACGCGAAGAACCUUACCAGGUCUUGACAUCCUUUGACCACUCUAGAGAUAGAGCUUCCCCUUCGGGGGCAAAGUGACAGGUGGUGCAUGGUUGUCGUCAGCUCGUGUCGUGAGAUGUUGGGUUAAGUCCCGCAACGAGCGCAACCCUUAUUGUUAGUUGCCAUCAUUCAGUUGGGCACUCUAGCAAGACUGCCGGUGACAAACCGGAGGAAGGUGGGGAUGACGUCAAAUCAUCUGCCCCUAUGACUGGGCUAA